rnacentral:misc_RNA from 1 species
UUCCAGGUUAUGGGGAUGCCCUCCU